rnacentral:rRNA from 1 species
UACGAAGGGGGCUAGCGUUGCUCGGAAUUACUGGGCGUAAAGGGAGCGUAGGCGGGUCGUCAAGUUGGGGGUGAAAGCCCAGGGCUCAACCUUGGAACUGCCUUCAAAACUGACGAUCUAGAGUAUGGAAGAGGUAAGUGGAACUCCGAGUGUAGAGGUGAAAUUCGUAGAUAUUCGGAAGAACACCAGUGGCGAAGGCGACUUACUGGACGACUGUUGACGCUGAGGUGCGGAAGCGUGGGGAGCAAACAGG